GACGAACGCUGGCGGCGUGCUUAACACAUGCCAGUCGAACGGAAAGGCCCUGCUUUUGUGGGGUACUCGAGUGGCGAACGGGUGAGUAACACGUGAGUAUCCUGCCCUUAACUGUGUGAUAGCUUCAGGACACUGCGGCUAAUACCGGAUAUGAGCUCCUGCUGCGUGUUGGGGAUUGGAAAGAUCCGGCGGUUGGGGAUGGACUCGCGGCUUAUCAGCUUGUUGGUGGGGUAGUGGCUUACCAAGGCUCUGACGGGUAGCCCGCCUGAGAGGGUGAACGGCGACAUUGGGACUGAGGGACGGCCCAGACUCCUACGGGAGGCAACAGUGGGGAAUAUUGCACAAUGAGCGGAAGCCUGAUGCAGCAACGCCGCGUGCGGGAUAACGGCCUUCUGGGUGUAAACCGCUUUCGCCUGUAACGAAGCGAGAGUGACGGUAAUGGGUAAAGAAGCACCGGCUAACUACGUG
rnacentral:rRNA from 1 species